UGGGUGAGAUCUGUUAAUGAGA
rnacentral:miRNA from 2 species